rfam:Phaseolus vulgaris cultivar G19833 chromosome 9, whole genome shotgun sequence.
GGUCCGAUGCCACGUCUCUGGUAGCUUCAAUUCGGCAUUGACCAGUGAUGCUAUGAUUGGACCAAAAGCAAAAGUGAAUUUCGGUUGUUUCGCAUCUUGAUAGGAAUCUGUGGAUCUCAUACUUAUGAUCUGCAGAGCCGUUUUGUGCGAUUACAUCU